GGGUUGUGAGGUUAAGCGACUAAGCGUACACGGUGGAUGCCCUGGCAGUCAGAGGCGAUGAAGGACGUGCUAAUCUGCGAUAAGCGCCGGUAAGGUGAUAUGAACCGUUAUAACCGGCGAUUUCCGAAUGGGGAAACCCAGUGUGACUCGUCACACUAUCAUUAACUGAAUCCAUAGGUUAAUGAGGCGAACCGGGGGAACUGAAACAUCUAAGUACCCCGAGGAAAAGAAAUCAACCGAGAUUCCCCCAGUAGCGGCGAGCGAACGGGGAGGAGCCCAGAGCCUGAAUCAGCAUGUGUGUUAGUGGAAGCGUCUGGAAAGGCGCGCGAUACAGGGUGACAGCCCCGUACACAAAAGCGCAUGUGCUGUGAGCUCGAUGAGUAGGGCGGGACACGUGGUAUCCUGUCUGAAUAUGGGGGGACCAUCCUCCAAGGCUAAAUACUCCUGACUGACCGAUAGUGAACCAGUACCGUGAGGGAAAGGCGAAAAGAACCCCGGCGAGGGGAGUGAAAAAGAACCUGAAACCGUGUACGUACAAGCAGUGGGAGCCUCUUUUAUGGGGUGACUGCGUACCUUUUGUAUAAUGGGUCAGCGACUUAUAUUCUGUAGCAAGGUUAACCGUAUAGGGGAGCCGGAGGGAAACCGAGUCUUAACCGGGCGUUAAGUUGCAGGGUAUAGACCCGAAACCCGGUGAUCUAGCCAUGGGCAGGUUGAAGGUUGGGUAACACUAACUGGAGGACCGAACCGACUAAUGUUGAAAAAUUAGCGGAUGACCUGUGGCUGGGGGUGAAAGGCCAAUCAAACCGGGAGAUAGCUGGUUCUCCCCGAAAGCUAUUUAGGUAGCGCCUCGUGAAUUCAUCUCCGGGGGUAGAGCACUGUUUCGGCUAGGGGGCCAUCCCGGCUUACCAACCCGAUGCAAACUGCGAAUACCGGAGAAUGUUAUCACGGGAGACACACGGCGGGUGCUAACGUCCGUCGUGAAGAGGGAAACAACCCAGACCGCCAGCUAAGGUCCCAAAGUCAUGGUUAAGUGGGAAACGAUGUGGGAAGGCCCAGACAGCCAGGAUGUUGGCUUAGAAGCAGCCAUCAUUUAAAGAAAGCGUAAUAGCUCACUGGUCGAGUCGGCCUGCGCGGAAGAUGUAACGGGGCUAAACCAUGCACCGAAGCUGCGGCAGCGACGCUGAUGCGUUGUUGGGUAGGGGAGCGUUCUGUAAGCCUGCGAAGGUGGCCUGUGAGGGUUGCUGGAGGUAUCAGAAGUGCGAAUGCUGACAUAAGUAACGAUAAAGCGGGUGAAAAGCCCGCUCGCCGGAAGACCAAGGGUUCCUGUCCAACGUUAAUCGGGGCAGGGUGAGUCGACCCCUAAGGCGAGGCCGAAAGGCGUAGUCGAUGGGAAACGGGUUAAUAUUCCC
rnacentral:rRNA from 1 species